AGUGAACGCUGGCGGUAGGCCUAACACAUGCAAGUCGAACGGCAGCACAGGAGAGCUUGCUCUCUGGGUGGCGAGUGGCGGACGGGUGAGGAAUACAUCGGAAUCUACUCUGUCGUGGGGGAUAACGUAGGGAAACUUACGCUAAUACCGCAUACGACCUACGGGUGAAAGCAGGGGACCUUCGGGCCUUGCGCGAUUGAAUGAGCCGAUGUCGGAUUAGCUAGUUGGCGGGGUAAAGGCCCACCAAGGCGACGAUCCGUAGCUGGUCUGAAGGGAUGAUCAGCCACACGGGAACUGAGACACGGUCCAGACUCCUACGGGAGGCAGCAGUGGGGAAUAUUGGACAAUGGGGGCAAGCCUGAUCCAGCCAUACCGCGUGGGUGAAGAAGGCCUUCGGGUUGUAAAGCCCUUUUGUUGGGAAAGAAAUCCAGCUGGCUAAUACCCGGUUGGGAUGACGGUACCCAAAGAAUAAGCACCGGCUAACUUCGUGCCAGCCGCCGCCGUAA
rnacentral:rRNA from 1 species